rnacentral:rRNA from 1 species
UACGGAGGAUCCAAGCGUUAUCCGGAUUCAUUGGGUUUAAAGGGCGCGUAGGCGGUGCGGUAAGUCACCUGUGAAAUCUCCCGGCUUAACUGGGAGCCUGCAGGCGAAACUGCCGUGCUUGAGUAUGGGAGAGGUGCGUGGAAUUCCCGGUGUAGCGGUGAAAUGCGUAGAUAUCUGGAGGAACACCGGUGGCGAAGGCGGCAUCCUGGACCGGCAUUGACGCUGAGGAGCGAAAGCCAGGGGAGCAAACGGG